rnacentral:rRNA from 1 species
CCCUUAGAUGUCCUGGGCCGCACGCGCGCUACACUGACGGGGCCAACGAGUCCUCCCUUGCCCGAAAGGGCCGGGUAAUCUUGUUAAACCCCGUCGUGCUGGGGAUAGAGCAUUGCAAUUGUUGCUCUUCAACGAGGAAUGCCUAGUAAGCGCGCGUCAUCAGCGUGCGUUGAUUACGUCCCUGCCCUUUGUACACACCGCCCGUCGCACCUACCGAUUGAAUGGUCCGGUGAAAUCUCCAGACGUGGUUUUACCAUGAAAGCUGAUUGAAUCUUAUCAUUUAGAGGAAGGUGAAGUCGUAACA